CUUUUCCUUAUUCCAGCAAGCUGGGAAGAGCUGGGACACAGAACCUACAUUGAUUCCAGAACCAACACAAGCUCCAGUGUGACACCCUACAGAACCUCUACUGUGUCUGGAACUGACACCAGCUCCAGUGUGACACCCUACAGAACCUCUACUGUGUCUGGAACAGACACAGCCUCCAGUGUGUCACCCUACAGGACCUAUACUUUGUCUGGAAUUGGCACAACAUCCAGUGUGAUGCCCCGAGGAACCUAUACUGUUUCUGGCAGUGAUGUGCCCUCCAGUGUGUCCCCUUACAGGACCUAUACUGUGUCUGAGAGUGAUGUGCCCUCCAGUGUGACACCCUACAGGACCUAUACUGUGUCUGGAAGUGAUGUACCCUCCAGUGUGACACCCUACAGGACCUAUACUGUGUCUGGAAGUGAUGUACCCUCCAGUGUGACACCCUACAGGACCUAUACUGUGUCUGGAAGUGAUGUACCCUCCAGUGUGACACCCUACAGAACCUAUACUGUGUCUGAGAGUGAUGUGCCCUCCAGUGUGACACCCUACAGGACCUAUACUGUGUCUGAGAGUGAUGUGCCCUCCAGUGUGACACCCUACAGGACCUAUACUGUGUCUGGCAGUGAUGUGCCCUCCAGUGUGACACCCUACAGGACCUAUACUGUGUCUAAGAGUGAUGUACCCUCAAGUGUGACACCCUACAUAACCCACACUGUGUCUGGAAGCGACGUAUCCUCCGAAUCUUUUCGGCUUCCCUUUGUACCUCAAGGAACCAGUACACCUCGUGGUCCUGCUCCUGUUGCAAGCUGGGGAGAGCUGGGACACAGAACCUACAUUGAUUCCAGAACCAACACAAGCUCCAGUGUGACACCCUACAGAACCUCUACUGUGUCUGGAACUGACACCAGCUCCAGUGUGACACCCUACAGAACCUCUACUGUGUCUGGAACAGACACAGCCUCCAGUGUGUCACCCUACAGGACCUAUACUUUGUCUGGAAUUGGCACAACAUCCAGAGUGAUGCCCCGAGGAACCUAUACUGUUUCUGGCAGUGAUGUGCCCUCCAGUGUGUCCCCUUACAGGACCUAUACUGUGUCUGAGAGUGAUGUACCCUCCAGUGUGACACCCUACAGGACCUAUACUGUGUCUGGAAGUGAUGUACCCUCCAGUGUGACACCCUACAGAACCUAUACUGUGUCUGAGAGUGAUGUACCCUCCAGUGUGACACCCUACAGGACCUAUACUGUGUCUGAGAGUGAUGUGCCCUCCAGUGUGACACCCUACAGGACCUAUACUGUGUCUGGCAGUGAUGUGCCCUCCAGUGUGACACCCUACAGGACCUAUACUGUGUCUAAGAGUGAUGUACCCUCAAGUGUGACACCCUACAUAACCCACACUGUGUCUGGAAGCGACGUAUCCUCCGAAUCUUUUCGGCUUCCCUUUGUACCUCAAGGAACCAGUACACCUCGUGGUCCUGCUCCUGUUGCAAGCUGGGGAGAGCUGGGACACAGAACCUACAUUGAUUCUAGAACCAACACCAGCUCCAGUGUGACACCCUACAGAACCUCUACUGUGUCUGGAAGUGACACCAGCUCCAGUGUGACACCCUACAGAACCUCUACUGUGUCUGGAACAGACACAGCCUCCAGUGUGUCACCCUACAGGACCUAUACUUUGUCUGGAAUUGGCACAACAUCCAGUGUGAUGCCCCGAGGAACCUAUACUGUUUCUGGCAGUGAUGUGCCUUCCAGUGUGUACCCUUACAGGACCUAUACUGUGUCUGAGAGUGAUGUGCCCUCCAGUGUGACACCCUACAGGACCUAUACUGUGUCUGGAAGUGAUGUACCCUCCAGUGUGACACCCUACAGGACCUAUACUGUGUCUGGAAGUGAUGUACCCUCCAGUGUGACACCCUACAGGACCUAUACUGUGUCUGAGAGUGAUGUGCCCUCCAGUGUGACACCCUACAGGACCUAUACUGUGUCUGGAAGUGAUGUACCCUCCAGUGUGACACCCUACAGGACCUAUACUGUGUCUGAGAGUGAUGUGCCCUCCAGUGUGACACCCUACAGGACCUAUACUGUGUCUGGCAGUGAUGUGCCCUCCAGUGUGACACCCUACAGGACCUAUACUGUGUCUGGAAGUGAUGUACCCUCCAGUGUGACACCCUACAGGACCAAUACUGUGUCUGGCAGUGAUAUGCCCUCCAGUGUGACACCCUACAGGACCUAUACUGUGUCUAAGAGUGAUGUACCCUCAAGUGUGACACCCUACAUAACCCACACUGUGUCUGGAAGCGACGUAUCCUCCGAAUCUUUUCGGCUUCCCUUUGUACCUCAAGGAACCAGUACACCUCGUGGUCCUGCUCCUGUUGGUAAGUCUGCUUUUGAAGCAAUUGCACUCACUUGGAU
ensembl:lncRNA